rnacentral:lncRNA from 1 species
AUGGGUGCCAAAGAUGGCACUCAGAGACCUCUCUGUGGGCGUGUGCAUCGUUGUCUGCCAGAGUUAGUUACUAGAAAGGCAGAGGGACUUGGGUGGAACUGUUUCCUUUCCCCUCUCCAUGGCACCUUCCUACCCCUCUGCCCAGCAGCCCAAUGGAAGCACCUCUCCCUCCUUGUCUGUGAGGAAGGAACUGAGGUCCAGAGAGAGUGAAGUGAGAACUCAGAUCUCCUGACUAUGGAGCCAAUUCAAUGGCAUCAAGAUCUGAUUUGUCGUGGUGUGUCACCUGGUGAAUACUGAAUUCCUCUUCUGUCUCAGGGGACCCAUGUAAGUAACAGUAAAAUGAUUAAAUAGUUGCAGUGGAGGUAGCACAGGAAAGGAAGAGAAGGGGGAGAGGGGAAGGGGAAGGAAGAGGAGGCUGCCUGAAUUUUGGAAGUCUAGCUGCAGUCAAUGUGGUACAAUAGUGGAGAGUGGUGGCCAGUACAGUUUUUGUGGAGAAAGGCUAACUGACAGUCAAAUGGAUAGAACAACUGAAUGAUUAGGAGAAUGGAGGAGGAAUGAGAGCUAUCAGGUUAUAACUAUUAAUGACUAGGCAUAAGAGACUAUUCCACCAGAAAACUAACAAAUUGCCACUGCCGAAUAUUAUUAGUGAUACUAAAUCCCCAGGUUUGAACCCUUGGGACAAUGUUUCUGUGGUCUAGGUCACUAGUAAGUAGGAUAUUCAUAACAUGAAGUCUCUUUUAGGGCUCUAAAUGUAGGGCAUGGGAUGUGAUAAUUCAGGAGAAACAAAGUUCCUUGAUUGGGAAGUGGGAAGAUCUGGGGCAGGCAUGCACAUGCACACACACUUAUGAGGCUUGAUAACUGAGCAUACUGAAGAGUACGAUAAAGGGCAGAUAGGUGUCUCAGGGGUGGAAAGCCAGGCCUGGAGAUGUUAGGUCUGGGUUAAAUCAGGCCUAGGACUAGUAGUUCCUAGUGGUAUGACUAGGA